GACGAACCGUGCGAACGUUAUUCGGAAUCACUGGGCUUAAAGCGCGUGUAGGCGGGGCGGCACGUCGGUCGCUGAAAGCCCCCGGCUCAACCGGGGAACGGGCGCCGAUACGACCGCCCUCGAGGGACGUAGGGGGACCUGGAACUUCUGGUGGAGCGGUGAAAUGCGUUGAGAUCGGAAGGAACGCCCGUGGCGAAAGCGAGGUCCUGGACGUCUGCUGACGCUGAGACGCGAAAGCCAGGGGAGCGAACGGG
rnacentral:rRNA from 1 species